rnacentral:rRNA from 1 species
UACGUAGGGCGCAAGCGUUGUCCGGCAUUAUUGGGCGUAAAGAGCUCGUAGGCGGUUUGUCGCGUCGGCCGUGAAAUCUCCACGCUUAACGUGGAGCGUGCGGUCGAUACGGGCAGACUUGAGUUCGGUAGGGGAGACUGGAAUUCCUGGUGUAGCGGUGAAAUGCGCAGAUAUCAGGAGGAACACCGGUGGCGAAGGCGGGUCUCUGGGCCGAUACUGACGCUGAGGAGCGAAAGCGUGGGGAGCGAACAGG